GGAGGCACCAGCCCCAUUCACAACUGUGGAUCGGGAUGAAAUCACAUUUGAGGUUCUACUUUGCAUUGCUGUCCUGAUCCAGAACAGGAAGCAACUGCUGCAGUACCAUGAUGUCAAUGAUUUUUUCCUGUUUGCACAGAGUUUGCAGGGUAGACUUCAGCUGAACUCCUUGCAUGGGACAGAGUGGCUAUGAACGACAGGUUCCAGGAAUGGAGGAAACAACAAAUCACUAUGAAGAAUGUCCCUCCAAAAGAGGAAUGGGCUAGUGUGCCCUCAAAGGAAGAAAUGAGAUCAUGACCUCUUUGAGAACCAAUCUCCAAUGAAGCUAUAAGCAGAUCAUCUUAGCAUUCUGUCAGGGCUCCUUAAUGAAUAAACAG